rnacentral:rRNA from 1 species
GAUGAACGCUGGCGGCGUGCUUAACGCAUGCAAGUCGAACGGAAAGGCCCAAGCUUGCUUGGGUUCUCGAGUGGCGAACGGGUGAGUAACACGUGGGUGAUCUGCCCUGCACUUCGGGAUAAGCCUGGGAAACUGGGUCUAAUACCGGAUAGGACCACAUUUUGGAUGGUGUGGUGGAAAGUUUUUCGGUGUGGGAUGAGUUCGCGGCCUAUCAGCUUGUUGGUGGGGUAAUGGCCUACCAAGGCGUCGACGGGUAGCCGGCCUGAGGGGGUGUACGGCCACAUUGGGACUGAGGUGCGGCCGCGAUGCCUACGGGUGGCAGCAGGGGGGAAGAUUGCACAAGGGGUGCAGGGCUGAUGCAGCGACGCUGCGUGGGGGAUGACGGCCUUCGGGUUGUAAACUCCUUUCGCUAGGGACGAAGCGUUAUGUGACGGUACCUGGAGAAGAAGCACCGGCUAACUACGUG